rnacentral:lncRNA from 1 species
AGCUCUCACUCUCAACACUUACCACUCUAGAACAGAAGACCCAGGCCAAGAAAAAUACAGGGUCUGCACCUGAGAGUAAAUGCCUUCUUAAAUGUUGCAUUCCAGGCAACUCCCUUGCUUUACCCUAUCCUGAGAUAGAAAAACUCAUCCUGAUCUACAGUCCAUUCAGUAGGACCUUGAUGUCUUUUGCAUUGUUGGUUGUUGCUGUGUAACAAACUACCCCCAAAAUUCAGUGGCUUAAAAUAACAACCAUUUAUUUAUAUCAUGAUUCUGGAGAUUGGCAACUUCUGCUGGGCUCAGUUGGCCAAUUCUUCUGGUCUCAGCUGGGCUAUCUCACGGAACCUUGCUCAGCUGUGGGUGGGCUAGAUGGCUCUGCUUCUGAGAGUUGACUGGCUGUUGACUGGAUUGCCUCAGAUUGGCUCCGAGAGGGCUCUCAUCUUCCAACCAGGGCUUGUUCUCAUGGAAAGUAGAACCUCUCCUUCUUCCCCUGAAGGACCCUGGUAUCAAGCAACCCACAAAGCCUUACACUUGAGUCAGCCUGAAUGACAACAGCUGUGAAAAUUUCUUAUCAAAAUCAGUGCUUCUCAAAGAGUGACCUCUUCAACAAAUGAUGCUGGGACAACUGGGCAUCCACAUGCAAAAGAAUGAAGUUGGACCUCUACCUCAUACCAUAUACAAAAACCAACUCGAAACGGACCAAAGACCUAGAAGUAAGAGCUAAAACUAUGAAACUCCUAGAAGAAAGCUUAGGGAUAUAUCUUCAUGACCUUGGACUUGGCAAAGUAUUCUUAGAUAUUAGACAAAAAGCAUGAGCCACAAAAGAAAAAUAGAUAAAUUGGACUUCAAAAUUAAAAACUUUUGUGCAUCAAAGGACACCAUCAAGAAAGUGAAAAGACAACCCACAAAAAGGGACAAAAGAUUUGCACAUCAUAAAGGGUCUAGUAUCCAGCAUAUGUAAAGAACUUUUACAACUUGACAGCAAAAAGACAAACAACCCAAGAAGAAGUGGCAAUGGAUUUUAGUGAAUGGCUAACAGCCCCUGCCACAGAAGGCGAGUCAAGAACUUGUGCCUUAUGGAAUACUACUCAGCUGCAAAACAGAACAAAAUCAUUCCAUUUGCAAUAACAUGGAUGGACCUUGAGAGAAUUAUGUUAAGUGAAAUAAGCCAGCGAGAGAAAGAUAAUCUGUGUAUGACUCCACUCAUACGAGGAAUUUAAAAUUAUGGACUAAGAACAGUUUAGUGGAUACCAGGGGA